AAACUGAAGAGUUUGAUCCUGGCUCAGAUUGAACGCUAGCGGCAUGCCUUACACAUGCAAGUCGAACGGCAGCGGGGGAGCUUGCUCCCGCCGGCGAGUGGCAAACGGGUGAGUAAUACAUCGGAACGUGCCCAGUAGUGGGGGAUAGCCCGGCGAAAGCCGGAUUAAUACCGCAUACGACCUACGGGUGAAAGCGGGGGACCGAAAGGCCUCGCGCUAUUGGAGCGGCCGAUGGCUGAUUAGCUAGUUGGUGGGGUAAAGGCCUACCAAGGCUACGAUCAGUAGCUGGUCUGAGAGGACGACCAGCCACACUGGGACUGAGACACGGCCCAGACUCCUACGGGAGGCAGCAGUGGGGAAUUUUGGACAAUGGGCGAAAGCCUGAUCCAGCAAUGCCGCGUGUGCGAAGAAGGCCUUCGGGUUGUAAAGCACUUUUGUCAGGAAAGAAAUUGUUCGGGCCAAUACCCCGAGCCGUUGACGGUACCUGAAGAAUAAGCACCGGCUAACUACGUGCCAGCAGCCGCGGUAAUACGUAGGGUGCGAGCGUU
rnacentral:rRNA from 1 species